UGGCAGUGCUGGCAAGCAUCUCCCCAUUAACACCCCCCUCAUCCUGCACCAUGUUUCAGGCAGCCAGCUACCACAGAGGGAUUUUUAUUUGGGCAGUGACAUUGGUCCCUUAUGACUUCAAGAGACAAAAACCAGGAGGGACACUCAAGAGCAGCUGGUUAACAAGGUCCUGAGUGCCCUAAUUGGAAGUGGGGUUGAUCAAGAGAAGGGCUGUGUCCCUGCCAGCCCAGGAAGGUGCUGGUGCCAGAGCCCUGUGCUCCAGGAGAAGCAGGCGGAGGGAAGCAGCUCCACGAGCUCUGCCGACACCGCUCAGCCCAUUCAUCAGUGCCACCACAGAGAAUAAAUAUUUAUAAAUGGUGUGUCAGGCCUAAUGUGAUAAAUUAUCUCCAGUCAUCACUGAGAUGGCUCAAGAUGUGUUAAGCCAGUUUUAAACAUUUAGCUAAGAAAAUGUCUGAGUGGAGUUGAAGGAGGAAGAACAAGAAAAAAAUCCCCACAUGUACCAAAAAGAGGACAAAACAUUUACCUGUUUGACUUUGCACCAAACUCCUGGCCUGGGUUUGAGAAGUGCAAGUAACCUGUCGAAGUACAUUAAAACUCUCUUGACUUACUCCAGUUUAUUGUAAAUAUUACAGCAAAUCCAUUGUAAACAGCAGCAAGAGGCUUUUGGGAACCCAUUAAUCAAAAUAAACUGCUCUGGAAAAUGCCUCUGCUCAG